rnacentral:rRNA from 1 species
GACGAACCGUGCGAACGUUAUUCGGAAUCACUGGGCUUAAAGCGCGUGUAGGCGGGUCGGCACGUCGGUCGCUGAAAUCCCCCGGCUCAACCGGGGAAGGGGCGCCGAUACGGCCGGCCUCGAGGGGAGUAGGGGGACCUGGAACUUCCGGUGGAGCGGUGAAAUGCGUUGAGAUCGGAAGGAACGCCCGUGGCGAAAGCGAGGUCCUGGGCUCUUACUGACGCUGAGGAGCGAAAGCAUGGGGAGCGAACAGG